AGAUAUUUGAACCUUUGCAGAAAUAUUUAGUUAAAGAAUAUAAGAUAAAAGCAAGUUACAUAACUAUGGUCUUUCUUCUAAUAAUACUGCUCAAUAAUGCUUGCAUAUACAUAUGCUGUUGUUUGGAAAAGAAAAGUCCCAUACUCACAAAAUAAUUUCAAACUACUGGGUCUUAUUGAUUAUACAGAUUAUUAAAAAGAGAUCCAAAACUUACUUUUUGUACUCCUCAAACAACAAGGAUCAAAAUUAUUUUUGCUGCUGGUUUACUACAGAAAUGUUUAUGAGAUCAUGAAGAAAAUAAGCAUAGCACAUGUUGAUAAAACAGAGCAUUUGAGAUUUCGACAAUCAUGUAAAAACGGUAAAAAAAAAAAAAAUUAAAAAUGUAUGUAUUAAUUUUUUUUGAAAAUUUUAUCAGUUAAAGAAAUUAAAUACCACUUAUAAUCGGUUACAUUGUUAACCAUGUAACUUCA